AUUGAACGCUGGCGGCAGGCCUAACACAUGCAAGUCGAGCGGAUGACGGGAGCUUGCUCCUUGAUUCAGCGGCGGACGGGUGAGUAAUGCCUAGGAAUCUGCCUGGUAGUGGGGGACAACGUUUCGAAAGGAACGCUAAUACCGCAUACGUCCUACGGGAGAAAGCAGGGGACCUUCGGGCCUUGCGCUAUCAGAUGAGCCUAGGUCGGAUUAGCUAGUUGGUGGGGUAAUGGCUCACCAAGGCGACGAUCCGUAACUGGUCUGAGAGAGUGAUCAGUCACACUGGAACUGAGACGCGGUCCAGAGUCCUACGGGAGGCAGCAGUGGGGAAUAUUGGACAAUGGGCGAAAGCCUGAUCCAGCCAUGCCGCGUGUGUGAAGAAGGUCUUCGGAUUGUAAAGCACUUUAAGUUGGGAGGAGGGGCAGUAAGUUAAUACCUUGCUGUUUUGACGUUACCGACAGAAUAAGCACCGGCUAACUCUGUGCCAGCCGCCGCCGUAA
rnacentral:rRNA from 1 species